rnacentral:misc_RNA from 1 species
GAAAUGCGAUAAUUAAUGUGAAUUGCAGAAUUCAGUGAAUCAUCGAGUCUUUGAACGCACAUUGCGCCCCCUGGUAUUCCGGGGGCAUGCCUGUCCGAGCGUCAUUGCUGCCCUCAAGCACGGCUUGUGUGUUGGGCUUCUGUCCCUGGCAACGGGGACGGGCCCAAAAGGCAGUGGCGGCACCAUGUCUGGUCCUCGAGCGUAUGGGGCUUUGUCACCCGCUCCCGUAGGUCCAGCUGGCAGCUAGCCUCGCAACCAAUCUUUUUAACCAGGCUGACCUCGGAUCAGGUAGGGAUACCCGCUGAACUUAAGC